rnacentral:sRNA from 1 species
UCAUAUUCCCGUUGGGGAAGGAUGAGAAGCUUCGACUAAGGUUCGAUUCGAGCAAAGCGAGAAAGCGUUGCCGCAGGCAACGACCCGAAGGGUGAGACGCAAAGCGUCGAGUCAUCCUUCCCCCGCCACCA